CCUACGGGAGGCAGCAGUGGGGAAUCUUGCGCAAUGGGCGAAAGCCUGACGCAGCAACGCCGCGUGCGGGAAGAAGGCUUUCGGGCUGUAAACCGCUUUCAGCAGGAACGAAAAUGACGGUACCUGCAGAAGAAGGAGCGGCCAACUAUGUGCCAGCAGCCGCGGUGAUACAUAGGCUUCAAGCGUUGUCCGGAUUUAUUGGGCGUAAAGAGUUCGUAGGCGGUCAAGUAAGUCGGGUGUGAAAAUUCUGGGCUCAACCCAGAGACGCCACCCGAUACUGCUUAACUUGAGUUCGAUAGGGGAGUGGGGAAUUCCUAGUGUAGCGGUGAAAUGCGCAGAUAUUAGGAGGAACACCGGUGGCGAAGGCGCCACUCUGGAUCGAUACUGACGCUGAGGAACGAAAGCAUGGGUAGCAAACAGGAUUAGAUACCCUGGUAGUCCAUGCCGUAAACGGUGGGCACUAGGUGUGGGUUUCUAUUAACGAAAUCCGCGCCGUCGCUAACGCAUUAAGUGCCCCGCCUGGGGGAGGUACGGUCGCGAGACUAAACUACAAUAGAAUUAGACGGCGUGAGACGUGCCGAACGGACGACGACGAGGGAGGUAGG
rnacentral:rRNA from 1 species